CUCUGCCAGAAAUUAUCACUGUGUUCAAGGAAGACCCAGGCCCAAAUAAAGCUGCUAUGUCUAAGGUCAGCCCCUUUUCCUCAGCUUUUCAAGUUGGCAGUCAUCUAAUAUUAAAGACCAAGCCAAAGUCCCGCUCACCUCUGAAGAAGGGAAAGAUACACAGGCUUGUUGGUUCGCUCGGCAGUAGCAGUCCAUGAAAGGGCUGAAGCAGCUGACCUUUCUCCUCGGCACACCUACAAGCCAGGGUA